GUAACAAGGUCUCCGUUGGGGAACCAGCGGAGGGAUCAUUA
rnacentral:rRNA from 1 species